GGAUAACCUACCCUUAGGACCGGGAUAACCUUGGGAAACUGAGGAUAAUACUGGAUAGGCAAUUUUUCCUGUAAUGGUUUUUUGUUUAAAUGUUUUUUCGCCUAAGGAUGGGUCUGCGGCCGAUUAGGUAGUUGGUUAGGUAAUGGCUUACCAAGCCGUUGAUCGGUACGGGUUGUGAGAGCAAGAGCCCGGAGAUGGAACCUGAGACAAGGUUCCAGGCCCUACGGGGUGCAGCAGGCGCGAAACCUCCGCAAUGUGAGAAAUCGCGACGGGGGGAUCCCAAGUGCCAUUCUUAACGGGAUGGCUUUUCAUUAGUGUAAAGAGCUUUUGGAAUAAGAGCUGGGCAAGACCGGUGCCAGCCGCCGCGGUAACACCGGCAGCUCUAGUGGUAACAAUUUUUAUUGGGCCUAAAGCGUCCGUAGCCGGUUUAAUAAGUCUCUGGUGAAAUCCUGUAGCUUAACUGUGGGAAUUGCUGGAGAUACUAUUAGACUUGAGACCGGGAGAGGUUAGAGGUACUCCCAGGGUAGAGGUGAAAUUCUGUAAUCCUGGGAGGACCGCCUGUUGCGAAGGCGUCUAACUGGAACGGUUCUGACGGUGAGGGACGAAAGUUAGGGGCGCGAACCGGAUUAGAUACCCGGGUAGUCCUAACUGUAAACGAUGCGGACUUGGUGUUGGGGUGGCUUUGAGCUGUCCCAGUGCCGAAAGGGAAGCUGUUAAGUCCGCCGCCUGGGAAG
rnacentral:rRNA from 1 species